AUUGAACGCUGGCGGCAUGCUUUACACAUGCAAGUCGAACGGUAACAGGCCGCAAGGUGCUGACGAGUGGCGAACGGGUGAGUAAUGCAUCGGAACGUGCCCAGUCGUGGGGGAUAACGCAGCGAAAGCUGUGCUAAUACCGCAUACGAUCUAUGGAUGAAAGCGGGGGACCGUAAGGCCUCGCGCGAUUGGAGCGGCCGAUGUCAGAUUAGGUAGUUGGUGGGGUAAAGGCCCACCAAGCCAACGAUCUGUAGCUGGUCUGAGAGGACGACCAGCCACACUGGGACUGAGACACGGCCCAGACUCCUACGGGAGGCAGCAGUGGGGAAUUUUGGACAAUGGGCGCAAGCCUGAUCCAGCAAUGCCGCGUGCAGGAAGAAGGCCUUCGGGUUGUAAACUGCUUUUGUACGGAACGAAACGGUCUGGGUUAAUACCUCGGGGGGAUGACGGUACCUGAAGAAUAAGCACCGGCUAACUACGUGCCAGCCGCCGCGGUAAGAC
rnacentral:rRNA from 1 species